rnacentral:lncRNA from 1 species
AAAUGCUUUAAAAUUAUUUUAAGUCACUUAAAAAUAAAAUGACUGAUGUUGAGAUACAGAAUAAGAGUCUUAGACUCAGUAAUUACCCGAUAAAGCUGUCGGUACGCCGACAAAUGUCAGACCUUAUAAAAGAAAGAAAAGGCUACUGUAAGAACAUGGAUGAGAUAUUUGAAAAAUGUAUAAAAAUAUUUCAAGUAUAGAAUAUGAACUAAAAGUAUGAUCACUGCGAUUAUGUGAUGACGUGAUUAGACUAUGUGCUGACUGUAAUAGACAGUACUAUGUGUUAUGAUAUAUUGUUCUAAUCGAACGAAUGAUCUGAUUAUUGAUAGGUUGUGAUAAAGAGAUAAAACCUAAGUUGAGAUUUGUAAUCAGCAAAUCAGGCAAGUAUCUUACCUUUGCAUUUCCUUUAUGCAAUGGACAUGAGUAAGAAGUUUCAGAAUUAUUCUAUUCCUGUACAGAUUAUGUACGCUUUGAUUAUCAACAUGUUAGCUCAGAUAUAUAUUCUGUUAAGUUGAUUUCUAAAUGGUUAUACAAG